CGCUGAAGAGAGGAGCUUGCUCUUCUUGGAUGAGUUGCGAACGGGUGAGUAACGCGUAGGUAACCUGCCUGGUAGCGGGGGAUAACUAUUGGAAACGAUAGCUAAUACCGCAUGAUAUUAAUUGUCGCAUGAUAAUUAAUUGAAAGAUGCAAUUGCAUCACUACCAGAUGGACCUGCGUUGUAUUAGCUAGUUGGUGAGGUAACGGCUCACCAAGGCGACGAUACAUAGCCGACCUGAGAGGGUGAUCGGCCACACUGGGACUGAGACACGGCCCAGACUCCUACGGGAGGCAGCAGUAGGGAAUCUUCGGCAAUGGGGGGAACCCUGACCGAGCAACGCCGCGUGAGUGAAGAAGGUUUUCGGAUCGUAAAGCUCUGUUGUAAGAGAAGAACGGGUGUGAGAGUGGAAAGUUCACACUGUGACGGUAUCUUACCAGAAAGGGACGGGA
rnacentral:rRNA from 1 species